rnacentral:rRNA from 1 species
GGGUCAGUAGGUUGGUCGUGCCACCGGUACGUACUGGUCACACUGAUUCCUCCUUCCUGAAUAACCGUAAUGCCAUUAAUUUGGUGUUGCGGGGAAACAGGACUGUUACUUUGAAAAAAUUAGAGUGUUUAAAGCAAGCUAACGCUUGAAUACAUUAGCAUGGAAUAAUGAAAUAGGACGAUCGAUCCUAUUUUGUUGGUUUCUAGGAUUGACGUA